rnacentral:piRNA from 1 species
UUUGAGGAGAAAGAGGGGACACCGUUGC